CGUAGAAUUUGCAUUUCCUACUCUACCUGUAGUAAGAACAUUUAAGAAAAUCUCAGGGCUAUGACACAAUAUUGUCAAGUGUAGUCACUCACCAUGCCUAGGAGAAGCGUAGCCACAGUGUCGGGCAUGGCAGCGGGGACAGAAAGCUGAGAGUCUCAGCAUGACACAGAGAGGGCAAGCUGGAAGCUGCAUGAUGUUUUAAACCCUCAAAGCCAGCCUCCAGUGAUGUACCUCCUCCCACAGGCUAUACAUUCUGUACCUCCCCCAAACAGCAACGUCAACUGAGGACCAAGUGUUUAAACAUUUGAGACUGGAGGAUCUUCUCAUUCAAACCACCAUAGGGUUGUACCUUGGAUUCCACACAGAGAUGAUAUCAAGUCAUAUCUAUUUUGCAGAGUCUGGCUUAUCAACAUAAUGUGCCCAGCAUCAUCCACAUGGAGGCUUUAGUUAUAAUCCCCGUGCACUGGUUUGGACCCUGGAAUUCGUUUGAAGAGAUGUAGAUCAUCAGCUGAGUGCCAUGUGCCAACCGUGAGACCCAGACUGAUGUUCGACAUGUUUGUAGUUUUGGGGAAGUUCAGGGCUCUGUUUAAUUUUCACGUCCGCAUGUUUGGUGUCCUUUGAUGAAGUAUGUCGUCUGCUCUUCAAAACUUCCCUGCUGGUAAAAGACAUGCAUUUAUUUUUAAAUGCAUUCAUAAUUUCUGCUCUAUAGGAAUAAACUAUGCCUCCGGGAAAGAUGCGCAUUGCACGGAUACACUUUGUGAAGGCCAAGAACCUGGAAACACCUGGCCCAGAUCCUGACUGCUAUCAACACACCAACUUUGCCCAGCUUGAAAACAAAGCAGAGCAAAACAAGACAAAGGCAAAGACAAACAACAACAACAACAACAACAACAACAACAACAAAUCCCCCAAAGACCAAAACCAAAACAAAAAACCCACCAAAACCUCUGUUCCUUUUGUGUUUUAUUUUCCUCAUUAGUCAUUCCUGUUAGUGAGCACACACACGCCACGCCUCAUCAAAACAUACUGUACCUUAUUUCCAUGUCACCCCCUCCCCACUUAUUCUUCUUCUGAACAAAAACACUCUAUUCACAUUUUCUCCCUCCUCCUAGUCUUCCUCAGGUCUACUCCAGGCAAGCUCACACCCCACCACCAAGGAAACCCUUACAGUGAAGCUUCCGGCGACCUCUGCACUGCCAAGGCCCACUCUGAAGUCCCAGCUCUUGUCUUGGUCAACGAGUCACAGUCACUGACUUCGGGGGCUGAUGAAUCCCUCCUGUCCUGAAACACUUGCUUCUCUUGGCUCGCUCUCGGGACUCUGAACUCUUGCAUCUCUCUGGCCAUGUCCUUUUGCCUCCUUGUGCUUCCCUAGACUCCAAUAGAUGGUGAUUUUCCAUGUCUCAGUCCUUGACCUUUCCUGUCAAGGCUUACUCUCUGGUUGACAUCAUGCAGUCUCAUGGUUGAAGCCUCAUCUAUAUUUGGAUUCUCUUGGUUCCGAGUUUCUAUCUUUAGCCUGAACUUCUUCCUUUAACUCUCUGCUUGCACAUCCCAUGGCUUCCUUACUGUCAGUACCUUGCAGCUAGUAGAACUCAUAGUGCACUCUGUCUGAGCUCCUGACAGUCCACACUUCCACUCGCCUCCAGCAGCCUGUGCUUUGUCUGCUGACUCUAUUGUCACCCUUCUUUUUUGUUGUCACAUUGGAAAUUCUUUUGGUUUCACUUUCAAGACCUCCCCAGAAACCACACACUUGUCGCCAUCUGACAGGCUACCUCUAUCCUGGUCUAAAACCUGUCAAUUGCCUAUGAACUAAACAAACAGCCUGCACAAGUACAGACCCUGAAGUCCCACCAUGCAGACUGGAUGCAGUGGCUCUGCCAGUAAAGAAUGACCUGAGCAAGGUGCUCAACUCUGCUUCUCCAGGUUCCUCACUGGGAAGACUGGGAUCCUAACAAUAAUGCUGCUACUAUGACUAGAAGUUG
rnacentral:lncRNA from 1 species